AUGAAGCCUUCAGUGCUGGGAGCGUGUUUUGGGCUGAAAUCCCUGCCCAGCACUCACCCUUUACACCUGGGAAUCCGAGGGGUUUCCCACUCUUAUUUCAGCAUGUCACAGCUGCAGCCAGGCUCAGUUUUGAGGCUGAGCUCACCUAACCAAGCAGGAAGGGCAGCUGGUUCACAUGGCAAGCCUGGCACACGACUGCUCCUUCCUGAGCUUCCACAGGUGAUGGCUGAGGCUACAAAAGACCAUGAGUUGAUCUAGUCCAUCUUUCUGCAUAGUACCAACUGCAGGAGCAGCAAGUUGGGCAAGAAGGUACAGAGGAGGUUGUAGAACUUAAUUCUUUUAGGAGUCUAACUGUGCAUAUCUGUCAUCCUAGAGAAUUUUAAACAUGGCCUGAGGACUUGAGCUCCAUCUAAAACCUUGUGGACAAUGAUGGGCACACCUGACAUGUGGGUCCAGAUCACCCUUCUUGGGGGUCUCUGAGCUGGGCAUGAUAAAUGCUCAGCACAGCAGUGGAAUUGGGUCUGAGGCUGCCUGGAUGUGGUCCUCCAGCCUUCCUCAUCCUCUCCAGCAGGAAUGUGUUCCUCACUCUCUCCAGGAGUCUGUUUUCCCACCCACACAUCAGUGUGUGAUGGAGAUCUACAGACCACACUGUGCUGGUGCUGUAUGAGCCUGCUGCUUUCUUCUUGCUUGCAGGCAAUCCUAGGGAAGACUGGGAUUAUCCUGAGGUAUAAAACUGGUAUCCUCAGACACCAGUUCUGCAUGAAAUAGUAGUUUGGUGUCUAGGAAGAGCUGGAAAACCCUUCUCUUCUACUGUGGCAAGACAGAAAAUCCUUCCAGACCUCUUUCCCUGCUCAUCCCAGAAGUGCUAAACAUCCUUCUGUGGUCCUUUGGGUGCACUGAGCAGGCAGACCCUCCUAAUGACUUUGCCAUCCCAGCCUGGUGCAGACACUGGGAGAGUUGUGGGCAUCUCAGCAUCUUUCUUCCCAUGUGCUCUGCAUCUGAGACUUCCUGGGAACUCCUUGUACAAAGCUAAAAACAUCUGCAAAAGCAAAGGCUAAGAAAGCUGCUGGGGAUUCAUGUUACCUCUCUCCCAUGAGGGCUCUGUGACUUCCAUUCACACCACUUCCCGCAUAAUCAAAAAACAAACCUUGGAUGCCCGAGAAUGUAACUUUUCUCAGAGGAAGGAGCCACUGGUUGUAAAGCCUUUGUAAAACAGCAGGUUUCCUGGUAAAAUGCACUGGCUGUUUCCCAAGGGGGGUGAUGCUAUCUCUAAAACCCAAGCAAGAUUCACAGCAGGCAGCUCAUGCAAACAAAUACCAGGGCAGGAGUGGUUUGGGGUGAGGAGAUGUUUGAAGCUGGCUCUGCUUUUGCUUUGGAUAGUGGGAGAGAGCUGAUCAGCUACACUCUCAUCUCGGGGACUGGCAGGACAACACUGACUCAGUGAUGCUUAAACACUGAUACAGCCCGAAACAAACUGGAAAUGAAAAGGAAAACCUGAUGGACAUUGCAAGAGCAGAGGUUAGAAGCUCCCAGCCAUCAAACUAUGCAAGUGCCACCAGGAUGCUCAUGGUUUUUCUUUCACAAACAUUGCCUUUGCUGGAGGAUUAAGACAAAAUGCAUGGAGGAGGCAAAAUACCAGAGCUUAAAAGCUUUUUUAAAAGCUGCACACCCUUUUGUAUGUCUGCCAUCAUUUGGAGAGUUAGAAAUGUAACAGAAGCCCAUGUCUGUUUAUUUAACAUGGGCCAAGAUAUGUCUGCAUACAUGUUUAUAUCCAAUGCACAUAAACACACUCCAAUUUCCAUAACCUACUCUCCAAAGGGGAGCUGAAGAUGCUGUGUCCCUUUUACCCUCAGUUCAGACAAUGCCAGGAGUUGCCUGUAGCUUUCUGUGACAUGCAGAAGGAAAAUGUUUAUUUCUGUGUGAGCAGCGGGUUUCCUCUGGGAUGCCUUGAUUGAUACCCUGCUAUUGAUCCCAGCAGCAGCUGGGAUGGACACAGGGUGCCCAAAUAUGAAACCGAGGGGGAGCAUGUGCACACAGCACGGCUGUCCUGCUGCCCAUGCUGCCUGCAGCCUCCUGACCCUCUCCUGUUAGCCACAGCCCCCAGGCAGGGUCCUGGCAGGGUGGCUGACACCUCCAGGGCUUUUAGCAAACCUCCCCAGCAGCCUUGGCCCUGGAGCUGCAGCCACAGCUGCUCUGAGCCUGCCUAGAGAGGGAGUCCUGAAGGGCUGGUGGGGCAGCUCCAAGGCACCUUUGGAGCCAGGGGCUGAAUUCUGGAUANNNNNNNNNNNNNNNNNNNNNNNNNNNNNNNNNNNNNNNNNNNNNNNNNNNNNNNNNNNNNNNNNNNNNNGGGACUGGCUGAAUUCUGGAUAUAACAUUCCUGUAGGCAUGUGGGACAGGCUGAAUUCUGGAUAUAACACGGCUCCUGUAGGGAUGUGGGACAGGUUGAUUUCUGGAUAUAACACUCAGGCUGACACAGCAAAUAGGCAGGACAGGGAAGAAACCACCACAAUUCAAAAUGGACAGGUGGAGGAUUUUUUGUUAAGGGGCAUGCAAGAAACUUUGGGUUUUUUAACACUUCUGUUAUUCUGUUUUUAACACUUCUGUUAUAUAUUGUGUUUAUUCCUGUGAUAUUUUUGAUAAAGACUUUGGUGAAACACUAGUAGGGAGAAAGGGGAGAGGCAAGUCUGAAUGCUGCCUUCUAGAAAUAAACUGGAAUAAAAUAAUAAAUGAGGAAAAAAG
rnacentral:lncRNA from 1 species